UACGUAGGGUGCGAGCGUUGUCCGGAAUUAUUGGGCGUAAAGAGCUCGUAGGCGGUUUGUCGCGUCUGCUGUGAAAAUUCGGGGCUUAACCCCGGGCCUGCAGUGGGUACGGGCAGACUAGAGUGCGGUAGGGGAGACUGGAAUUCCUGGUGUAGCGGUGAAAUGCGCAGAUAUCAGGAGGAACACCGGUGGCGAAGGCGGGUCUCUGGGCCGUAACUGACGCUGAGGAGCGAAAGCGUAGGGAGCGAACAGG
rnacentral:rRNA from 1 species